GGGAGACCCCAGGGCUGUUGCCAAUAACCUUAGCUGCUGCUCUCUGCAUCCGGCCCUCCCCGGCCUCUUACUCUCAUCCUCCUGGCUCCAUCAGAAAACCUCAGCCAGUCGGUUCCCAUCAGUCUCCCCUUGGUUCCUGCUGCCCCUCCCUGCCCAGAGCUCGUUUAGACCGUCAAGGCUGGAAGGCAAGCUGAUGAAGAAUUCCAGAUCCUGGCAAACUCCUGGCGAUACUCCAGUGCAUUUAACCAACAGGAUAUUUUUCGGUAUGGUGGAUUUUGAUGAAGGUUCUGAUGUAUUUCAGAUGUUGCAGGUCCUUCUAGUUGUGGGAUGUGGGACGUGGCCUGACGAGCGGUGCCAUGUCCACACCCAGGAUCCGAACCCUGGGCCGCCGCAGCGGAGCGCGCGAACUUAACCACUCGGCCACGGAGCCGGCCCCAUUUAGCCAUUUUGAAGUGUACAGUUUAUCAAGUAACUUUGUAAAUCACAGCAUAAAUCCCGCCAUUAUGCCACCAUUAUGUAAUAUUGAAGUUCUUAGUAUAGCUAGGCACCUGUCUUUACCCCCUUGCUCUCUUGUGCUUAGUGGAAAAGCUCCUUCAUCUUGUUCAAAGCUUAAGCCUUUUUCUGUGCCCUGGAUCCCGUACCCACCCACUCUAUCAAUCAUGACCUCUCUCACUUGUAUUUUUUUUAAUUAAGACUAUUUUUUAGAGCAUUUUACAGGUUCACAGCAGAAUUGAGGGGUAGAUAAGAGAUUUCCCAUAUACUCCCUGCCCUUACACAUGGAGAGCCUCCCCUUUUAUCAGCAUCCCCAACCAGAGUGCUACAUUUGUUACAGUUGAUGAACCUACAUUGACUCAUGAUAAUCACCCAAGGUACAUAGUUUACAUUACAGUUCACUCUUGGUCAUAUACAUUCUACUGGUUUGGGCAAAUGUAUAAUGACAUGUAUCUGUUAACACGGUAUCACAAGGAGUAUUUUUACUGCCCUGAAAAUCCUCUGUACUCUGCCAAUUCAUCCCUCCCCUCUAAUCUUUGGUAAUCACUGAUCUUUUUACUAUCUCCAGUUUUGCCUUUUCCAGAAUGCCAUAUAGUGGGAAUCAUACAGUAUGUAGACUUUUCAGAUUGAUUUAUUUCACUUAGUAAUAU
rnacentral:lncRNA from 1 species